CGGUUCUCUCGCAAUAGCUAUCUGCAAACCCCGCCAGGCCCGGAAGGGAGCAACGGUAGCAGGGACGUUAUGUGCCGAGAUGUAGCUGGU
rnacentral:SRP_RNA from 1 species